rnacentral:rRNA from 1 species
UGGGGAAUUUUUCGCAAUGGGCGCAAGCCUGACGAAGCAACGCCGCGUGGAGGAUGAAGGUCUUCGGAUUGUAAACUCCUGUCGACCGGGACGAAUGCACCCGACCUAAUACGUCGAAGUGUUGACGGUACCUGGUGAAUAAGCCACGGCUAACUACGUGCCAGCAGCCGCGGUAAUACGUAGGUGGCAAGCGUUGUCCGGAUUUAUUGGGUUUAAAGGGUGCGUAGGUGGCCCUGUAAGUCAGUGGUGAAAUAUCUCAGCUUAACUGAGAGGGUGCCAUUGAUACUGCAGGGCUUGAGUACAGAUGAGGUAGGCGGAAUUGACGGUGUAGCGGUGAAAUGCAUAGAUAUCGUCAAGAACACCGAUAGCGAAGGCAGCUUACCAAGCUGUAACUGACACUGAGGCACGAAAGUGUGGGGAUCAAACAGGAUUAGAUACCCCGGUAGUCCCUGAGCGGGCUGGCAAGGCGCAU